CAUUACAGAAGGAUAUCGCCCUCGGGCUUCUCUUCUCAACCCUUUGUUUACCACACGUAGUUGCCUUGGCGCUCCGCGCCAGUGGAUCGAAACUCCUGAAUCAUUGCCGUCUGAGUACUAUUCAAUAGUUAAAACUUUCAACAACGGAUCUCUUGGUUCUGGCAUCGAUGAAGAACGCAGCGAAAUGCGAUAAGUAAUGUGAAUUGCAGAAUUCAGUGAAUCAUCGAAUCUUUGAACGCACAUUGCGCCCUCCGGUAUUCCGGGGGGCAUGCCUGUUCGAGCGUCAUUACAACCCUCAAGCUCUGCUUGGUGUUGAGCCCGCCCCGGCCUGCCCGGGGCUCGCUUCAAAGUCAGUGGCGGCCGCCGUCCGACCUUCAGCGCAGUAAUGCUCGCCGCUGUUAGGGAAGGGUAGCAAGGGCCGUCAUACAACCCCCACACACAAGGUUGACCUCGGAUCAGGUAGGGAUACCCGCUGAACUUAAGCAUAUCAAUAAGCGGAGGCAAAGAAACCAACAGGGAUUGCCUCAGUAACGGCGAGUGAAGCGGCAACAGCUCAAAUUUGAAAGCUGGCUCCUUCGGGGCCCGCGUUGUAAUUUGUAGAGGAUGCUUCGGGCGCGGCACCGGUCUAAGUUCUCUGGAACGAGACGUCAUAGAGGGUGAGAAUCCCGUAUGUGACUGGCUGCCUGUGCCCAUGUGAAGCUCCUUCGACGAGUCGAGUUGUUUGGGAAUGCAGCUCAAAAUGGGAGGUGUACUCCUUCUAAAGCUAAAUAUUGGCCAGAGACCGAUAGCGCACAAGUAGAGUGAUCGAAAGAUGAAAAGCACUUUGGAAAGAGAGUUAAACAGUACGUGAAAUUGUUGAAAGGGAAGCGCUUGCAAUCAGACUUGCGCGGCGUCGAUCAGCCUGGGUUCUCCCUGGUGCACUCGGCGCCGCUCAGGCCAGCAUCAGUUUCGGCGGUGGGAUAAAGGCCUAGGGA
rnacentral:rRNA from 1 species